rnacentral:rRNA from 1 species
UACAGAGGGUGCAAGCGUUGUUCGGAAUUACUGGGCGUAAAGCGCGUGUAGGCUGCGGCGUAAGUCGGACGUGAAAGCCCUUGGCUUAACCAAGGAAGUGCAUCCGAUACUGCGUCGCUUGAGUAUCGGAGGGGAUGGCGGAAUUCCCGGUGUAGAGGUGAAAUUCGUAGAUAUCGGGAGGAACACCUGUGGCGAAGGCGGCCAUCUGGACGGUAACUGACGCUGAGACGCGAAAGCGUGGGGAUCAAACAGG